rnacentral:rRNA from 1 species
UACGGAGGGUGCAAGCGUUGUUCGGAAUUACUGGGCGUAAAGCGUGCGCAGGCGGUUGUGCAAGACAGAUGUGAAAUCCCCGGGCUUAACCUGGGAAUUGCAUUUGUGACUGCACGGCUAGAGUGUGUCAGAGGGGGGGUAGAACUCCACGUGUAGCAGUGAAAUGCGUAGAUAUGUGGAGGAAUACCGAUGGCGAAGGCAGCCCCCUGGGAUAACACUGACGCCUCAUGCACGAAAGCGUGGGGAGCAAACAGG